AUCAGGCCUGUAUACAAUACGAAUACUCAAAUAUACUUUAUUAAAUCCCAUUACCUAUUUUGAAACACACAACAUAGAAUGAUUUUUUGGAAUCAAAACACGUGUUACAUGAUAUAGGAAUCUUGCUUCAGUUUGAACUUAUUUGGUUUUGUUUUUUUUGUUUAUCAUGAAGAAAAGACAAGGCAUGAAAAAUGAGUUGAAGUAAAUUUCUCCAAAAAUCUAUAGUAGUAGUCCAAGUGAUCUAAAUUGUGUAAGUCCCUGUGAACCAGAUACUCCACAUUGUGAUGCUGGGAUCGGAAGUAAUUUUUUUAAAAAUGUAUAUGCUUGAAAGAAAACCAUAAUCUGUGAAUAAAUCGUAUUCAUUACUUAAAUUCCAUCUAAACUCAGUGUGGAUUCUUAGUUACUUGAUACUUAAAUCAGUGUAGUACACAAGUCUUUCUUGGACAUAGAACACAGUACAAAUCAAGAUCGUAGAUACACUACAAUCAUACAACAGCUUCGCUACCUCUUUUAAAGGAUAGCGUCCAUCGCUUCCAACCAGCACAAUGGUAAGAUAAAAUUAUCAAUAAUAAUAAUCCAAAUCAAACAUUUGAAAAUCUCAGCAAUGCAGGCUAAUUAUAUGUGCAAAACAUAUAUAGUAUUACAGUUUUGUUUUCUUCACCUAAUGUCACAUAUAUCUAGUACAAAGAUAAGACCAAAAAGUUUAGAUGCACUAUAAUAUUUGAAAUUCUAUAUUAAAUGGUGACAACUUGAUAUGCUUUGAUAUUAUGGAAAGGUUGAGAAUAUUUGUUUAUCUUAUUAAAACCAAAGAGAUUUUGUUGCCAAAAAUGUGCCAAUGAGAUCUAUACGGAUUAGCUUAUAAAUUUUUGAAAUGUAAUAAACUUCUGUUGUCAAAUUCAUGGUCAAACAUUUCCAUAUUCUAAUCAAAUCAAAUCUAAUAUUAACUCUUCAAGAUAUCUGGUCAAGCCAUAACGUACCAUUGCACUAUAUAAAGAACGAUGAAGAACUGUUAGCAAAAUUAUAAUAUUCUCUUUGGAGAAUGAAGAACGUUUCCUUUAAACUUGUGUUCUUGGUUGCUCUUCUUUCUCUUGUCUUUCGACAAGAUCUAGUGAAGGGUAGGACAUUGGUUCCAAAUAGAGGCGGCGGGAAUUAUCACGACCCGGUUUGUAACUCGGAUGAUCCCAGUUGCAACAAACCUUGUAAUCCAGAGAAUCCAAAUUGCGCCAUGAAACAAGGUGACAUGGAUACAAAUAGAGCCGACAGGAACUAUCAGGACCCGCCUUGUGACCCGUAUUAUGAUCCAAAUUGCGUCAAACCCUGUAAUCCAGAGAACCCAAAUUGUUAAUAGAAACAAGGCAUUGGAUAACGUCUAAUAUAGCUUAUUUAUUGAAUAAAUGUGAACGUGUAUAUUCUCAGAUUUGUAUGGCUUAUCUUAUGCAUCAACAGUUACAUGAUAUUUAUAAUAAUAAUAACUAGGUUAAAACCCGCGCCUUGCGCGGAAUGAACAUUAUA